GGCUUCUUCAAAGGAAAAAAUUUUGUUUUUGACCAUCGGGUUUCUGUUGGGAGCUUAGAUCCUAUUGUGUUGGGAACUUGCCUCCUCUGUGGCGUGUCAUUUGAUAACUACACUUCACGUUGCCGGUGUACUCACUGUAGGAUGCUUGUGUUAGUCUGUGAUCAUUGUCGGGAAAUAAAUCGGUCUUAUGUUUGUGAAUUGUGCCAGAAAGAUGGCAAGCCUGUUAAAUCCAUUUGCUCUAUGUCGGGAGAAGUACCAGAAACAGCAUAUGAUAAUCAGAGUCUCGAGAUUGAUCAAGCCUCGUCUCUUCUAUCUUCGAGUGAAGGUUGAGCUUGUGUGUCGGGUUCUCUCCUAAGUUAGUUGCUGCAAAUUCAUCAUAGCAGGUCAACUAGUUCAUGAGGACUUGGUGCUAGAACACAUAAUAUGAUAGAUUUUUGUUUUAGCUAUAAGAUAGUUGGUACUUUCAAUUUUGAAUCGAAAUAUGCAAUGAUCAUAUGUACUUGAUACUUGGUUCAUUUGGAUGGUAAUGUAUGAAUAUUUUGGAUGAUAUAUAAUAUUGUUAUUGGUGAUUUUAUCAUUUUGUUGUUUU